AUUGAACGCUGGCGGCAUGCCUUACACAUGCAAGUCGAACGGUAACAGGUCUUCGGAUGCUGACGAGUGGCGAACGGGUGAGUAAUACAUCGGAACGUGCCCGAUCGUGGGGGAUAACGAAGCGAAAGCUUUGCUAAUACCGCAUAAGAUCUACGGAUGAAAGCAGGGGACCGCAAGGCCUUGCGCGAACGGAGCGGCCGAUGGCAGAUUAGGUAGUUGGUGGGAUAAAAGCUUACCAAGCCGACGAUCUGUAGCUGGUCUGAGAGGACGACCAGCCACACUGGGACUGAGACACGGCCCAGACUCCUACGGGAGGCAGCAGUGGGGAAUUUUGGACAAUGGGCGAAAGCCUGAUCCAGCCAUGCCGCGUGCAGGAUGAAGGCCUUCGGGUUGUAAACUGCUUUUGUACGGAACGAAAAGACUCUUUCUAAUAAAGAGGGUCCAUGACGGUACCGUAAGAAUAAGCACCGGCUAACUACGUGCCAGCCGCCGCGGUAAUAC
rnacentral:rRNA from 1 species